GCUGCGGGGGUCGCCGCGCAGCGCGGGGCCCCGCGGGCGCGAGCGCGAACGGGGCGCACAGGAGAUGCUGAUGACCAGGAGGCACAGGGUCAGCAGCAGGCCGAAGCACACACCCAGCACGAAGUAGAGGCCGAAGCUCUCAGGUGAAAACUCGGGGAAGACGAGCAGGACAAGGUCAGUGAAUCCCAUGGCCUGCAGCUGCCAGCUGUGUGCAAGGCCCUGCUGAGGACCACGUGUGAGCACCACGAAUCCCUGCCGGUGUGGAAGUCGUCACCUUGUGUGGCUGGAUGGAAGCCUGAUGGCGUGGCUGCCUGGGAGACGCCCGCCCACAAGGCUGCAAAUGGAGACGCUGCCCAGGGAAGUGGCAGGCAGAGCCUGAGGGCCAGUACUGGGACAGGUACUGAGUGGGCAGGCUUCACGUGGAGGCUGGCCACCAGGGCAACGUGGAUGGAGGGCGGGCUGAGGCCCGCUCUGGAGCACUGUUUAAGAACCAGGCCUCUUUCUUCUUGGAGAGGAGCCACCCCUCUUGAGGUUGGAUCCUUGCCUGGGAAGGGCUCUGCCCGCAUGGAUUUCUGCUCCUUUGGGACCUGGGCUUGGGCACUGGCUCAUGAACUCUGUGGGUCUGCCGUGCUGGGGGAGGGGCUAGCCUGCUUCUGGCUUCAAUGCUCUGGAUGUGCACUCGCAAAGUCUAAAUUUAGGCAGAGGAAGGAAGGAAAGAAGAAAGGAAGGAAGACCCCGCUUGGCUUCCUAUGGGGCAGGAGGGAAGGGGCGGGUGGUACAGGAAAAGGCCUGGCCUGGCCCUCUCCUGACCCCAGCUGCGCUGGCUGGGCAGGUGGGCAGUCUGGCUAGCUAGAGGGGGGAUCCACAUUCUUCCAGCCACAGUGGCCCUGGUUGCCACAUGCAGCCAAGCAGGAGUCUUGCUUUGGGUACUUGAUGAGGGUUGGGAGCUUGCUGGGAAGUCCUGGCUUCCUCCCAAGGUCAAGACCAGGAGGCUGGUGCCACCUGCUGGCAGGGUGGUGUGCUGGCAGGGCUAGGAGCUAUGGGAACCUGAGCUGGGGACUGCGCUGCCAGGCUGGGAUGGGAGAGGCAGGGAGGGCAAGAACAGACGACACGGCCCAUGGCUCCAGAUCAGGAAGUUUUAUUGCUGACAUGCAGGAAGAGUCCCCAUGUAGUACAAAAAUAUGUCUUUAUACAAACUUUUUUGUGACUUUUUCCAUUUUGUUGUGUCUUUACAACAGGACUUCUCUCAGCGUGUGGCACCCAGCGAGGGCAGACCCAAGCUCUCCUUUGCUUCGCCAGAAUCGUGAUCAGGCCCCUGGGCUGACCGUGGGCGGGCCGGUCUGCCAGGGCUAUGCGGACCCAAGGAUAUUGCUUUGAAGAGGUCAGGAAAGACCACACGUGGGAAUCAGCCCAGGGUGCCUGGGUGGCCCUGGGCAGGGGCUCUGCCGGGACGACCCUGCCUCUGACCCUGGACCGACUGCGCCUGUGCUCCCUUGGGAGACUUUCAUGAAAUAAAUAUAGAAAAGGGGGCAUCCCCACCCCACCGCACCACACCCUGGCUUGCAGCAGCUGACGCUGAGCCGGAGGCAGAGUCUGGCGGGCAGGGAAAGUGCUGGGCUCAGGUGGGCUCCCGAGGGCCCACUGAGGCAGAGGCACGAGGUGCCCAAGUGCUGGAUGGGGGCACGGGGUGGGGGGGGGAAGGGGCAUGGGCGGCCCUGCUACUGCUGGCAAGAGGUGGCCCCAUUUUUUCCAGAUGGGGAAACUGAGGCACAAGGAGGUUUGGGAACUUGCCCAAGGUCACUCACAGUGAGUCAGCUUUUGGGGGGAGGGAGGGAGCUCACAAUCUGGGAAAUUCGGUCACCUAGCCACUGGGGAGCAAGGAAAGGCCAGAGGGGACACUUGGGGGCCCAGGCCCCGUGCACAGGGUAGGUAUCCUGGUGAGAACAGCGUUUCUGGCAAGACGGGCAUCACUUCAGAGU